rnacentral:rRNA from 1 species
CGGAGGGUGCAAGCGUUGUUCGGAAUUACUGGGCGUAAAGCGCGGGCAGGUGGUCCUUUAAGUCCUUUGUGAAAUCCCGGGGCUCAACUCCGGAUGUGCAUAGGAUACUGGAGGACUGGAGACUGGUAGAGGCGAGCGGAAUUCCUGGUGUAGCGGUGGAAUGCGUAGAUAUCAGGAAGAACACCGGUGGCGAAGGCGGCUCGCUGGGCCAGUUCUGACACUCAUCCGCGAAAGCGUGGGGAGCAAACAGGAUUAGAUACCCUGGUAGUCCACGCUGUAAACGAUGGGCACUAGAUGCCGGGCCUAUAGACGGGCUCGGUGUCGCAGCUAACGCAUUAAGUGCCCCGCCUGGGGAGUACGGCCGCAAGGCUG